GGCAUCAUGGCUUAGCUGGUUAAAGCCCCUGUCCUACAAACAAGAGAUCCUGGGUUCAACUCCCAGUGAUGCCU